AUGCGUCUUGUGGGGCAGGGACAGCCUUGGGUGGGCCCCAGCGUGCCCCAGCCGGCCGCUCCCCUGGGAUUCAGAAGAAUCUUUGUCUUAAAUUGGGGAUGCCAGAGGCUUUUAGCUGGGUGCUGCGUCAGCGUCGGCUUCAAUGGGUGCGUUGCAACUGGGGGCAGAGCGGGAGGAACCGUUCCCUCUGUGGCCCCGUCCUGCAGCGGGGGGCUGCCACAAACCUCUGCCAGCACCACGGGGACGGCGUGGGGACGCUCCCGUGCCAGCCGCCCUGGGGCUGGGCCCCUCCCUCUGUUUUCUGGGCCGUGUCAGCGCCCGUGCCCGCGGGUUUGUUCAAGCCGAGGACGGGCGGGUGCUGAUGGAGCAGCUCCAGGAGCGGGGCUGCAGACGCCAGCGGGGACUGCUCCGUUCCGGCCGCUGCUCCGCGCCGCAGCCGCUCCGCUUUGUCCUCUCCGCUUUGUCCUCUCCGCAGUAACGCGGAGCUCCCGGAUCUCGUCCCCUCGGGGAGCCCGGGGCGCCGAGGUUGGUGGCGAGGCCCGGCGAUGGCUGCGGCGUCUCCCGGUCGCCGGGCUCGGUGCGCGGUGUUGGUCGGAGCGAAGAGCAGCGCCCACCGCUGCGCGCUCCCGGUGCGGGGUCACGCCUCGCGGUGACACUGUCCCCUCGCUGCAGCCCCAGGGGCCGAGGUUUCCCUCGCGUCGUUCCAAGAGCUCUGCGCCGAGUGCGGGGCAUCCCCCGGCGGGAGACGCUGCGGGAGCGGUGCGCGGGGCGUGGGACGCACGGGGGGGUCCGCCUGUCCCUGCUGCCGGUGCUGGGGGGGAGGGGAGCAAGAGCCGGGGUCCCCCCCGUUCCGCCGGGGCCGUUUCCCCUUUGGGGACGGUGCGGCAGCUGAAACGCUCCGUUGGGCCGCGGUGGUCCCGGCGCAACACCCCCGUGCCGGGGGUCCCCUCCAUCGGCCCGGGUUUUUCCUCCCCCCACCCAGGACAGAGGCUGCAAAACCCGGGGGGUGCGGGGCACGGGGAGAGGAUGGAGCCCCCCCCCCCCCCC
rnacentral:lncRNA from 1 species